GUCUGUGUUCACUGUUCAUAUUCGUGUUCUGUGCUGUUCAGCUUCUUAUCGUGGAUAUCACAUAAAUAAAUUAUGAAUAAUUUAGAAUGCUAAGGAGAUGGAUGAAAACGAUAAAUUGAAAAAAUGCAAUAUUCGAAGAAAAUAUUUAAAUAUCUACGGACAAGUAAUAUAUCUCUCCCUAAUGAAACAGGAUAAUUUAAUGAUUGUUUCACUGAAAAAACAUUCAGAUAUUCGCCUAUAUUCAAUAGUUUUUACAUUGGGCAUAAUUUUGAAUGCCUUCAGUUUCAAAAUUGAUCUCAUAGGUACCAUCCUGUUCAGUAUUAUAGUGAGUGUUUUAGUCGUAUGUAUGUAUAUGAAAUUGGGUAGCAUAACUGAAGAGGCUCUCAUAGCUAUCAAUCCAUUGGGAUAUCAAUUAAGCACUAAAUAUAUAAUGGGCCAAAAAUCCACGUUCAUUCCAUUUGAAAGAGUACAAAAUAUUUUCAUCAAUGAAGUAAUAUACAAGCAAAAAAUCGUAUAUUUAUUGACGAUUUUAACCAAAGGAUUAAAUGGUGAUAAGCUAAUUCCCUUAUUUAUAUAAUGGUCUCAAAAAAUUUCCAACAAUUACGAGAAUUGACAAAAUGACCAUUGUCCAGGGUCAAACUGAAUUUGAAAAUCCAAAUAGAAGAAAAAUUCUCAGCAGCAUGUGGUUGGUUGGAAUGUUUAUAUGUAUAGGGUGCUAAGCCACGGAUUGAUUGUCUCAAGUUUUUGUAUAACGAGCUUUCGAAAAAUUAAGGAUGAAGUUCAAAUGGCAUCAAUUAUCCUAGAGAUCUGACAUUUCUUUUUUUCCGCCAAUAUUAUCAUUAUUCUCAUCUGUUCAAGCAGCUGGCAACUUAAUCCAUCAUCUUUUGUCUGAAAAAAAUGAAAUGUUACGAUUGUAGAAAAUAAGAUUUGUUUAAGAUAAUAACAUCGGGAUACUUAAUUAAAGAAACUUUCAAUAUACACUAAUAUACAUUUCGCCAAAAAAGCAUCGCAUCGGCAUAUUUAGAAGGUUUAGAAAAUUAGAAUAUUUAGUUUAGAACAUUUUAAUUACUUGUUCUUGAGAAAUUAUUCUGUAUGUUGCUAUGAACGUUCAUUUCAAAAGAAUAAGUAUCGUAACGUAAACUGAUAAUAAUCUGGGGCCUGCAGUUAAAAGAACAGACGGAUAACACGCAGAAUGUCAUUUUUUUGCCAAAUUUUUUCGCGGUCUGAAAGGAGCGAUAAAACAUUGUUUUUUCUUUUCUCUCUCUGGUACUGAUAACCACAUAAUUUACUGCAAAUAUUAUGAAAGUUUGUAAAUGAAAUACAAUGAUAUAGCGCAUAUGAUGAAUGGAUACUUUUUUUGGCGAAAUGAUAUAAAAUGCUGGAUAUAUUUUGUAUUAUUGUAAUAAUAAAUUCUUUCAGAUAUUAAA